GAUGAAGAACGUAGCGAAAUGCGAUAAGUAAUGUGAAUUGCAGAAUUCAGUGAAUCAUCGAAUCUUUGAACGCACAUUGCGCCCGCCAGUAUUCUGGCGGGCAUGCCUGUUCGAGCGUCAUUUCAACCAUCAAGCCCCCGGGCUUGUGUUGGGGACCUGCGGCUGCCGCAGGCCCUGAAAAGCAGUGGCGGGCUCGCUGUCACACCGAGCGUAGUAGAUUUUAUCUCGCUCAGGGCGUGCUGCGGGUUCCGGCCGUUAAACCACCUUCAUAACCCAAGGUUGACCUCGGAUCAGGUAGGAAGACCCGCUGAACUUAAGCAUAUCAAAAGCGGAGGA
rnacentral:misc_RNA from 1 species